GACGAACGCUGGCGGCGUGCCUAAUACAUGCAAGUAGAACGCACAGUAUAUACCGUAGCUUGCUACACCAUAGACUGUGAGUUGCGAACGGGUGAGUAACGCGUAGGUAACCUGCCUGGUAGCGGGGGAUAACUAUUGGAAACGAUAGCUAAUACCGCAUAAUAUUAAUUAUUGCAUGAUAAUUGAUUGAAAGAUGCAACUGCAUCACUACCAGAUGGACCUGCGUUGUAUUAGCUAGUAGGUGAGGUAACGGCUCACCUAGGCGACGAUACAUAGCCGACCUGAGAGGGUGAUCGGCCACACUGGGACUGAGACACGGCCCAGACUCCUACGGGAGGCAGCAGUAGGGAAUCUUCGGCAAUGGACGAAAGUCUGACCGAGCAACGCCGCGUGAGUGAAGAAGGUUUUCGGAUCGUAAAGCUCUGUUGUAAGAGAAGAACGGGUGUGAGAGUGGAAAGUUCACACUGUGACGGUAUCUUACCAGAAAGGGACGGCUAACUACGUGCCAGCAGCCGCGGUAAUACGUAGGUCCCGAGCGUUGUCCGGAUUUAUUGGGCGUAAAGCGAGCGCAGGCGGUUAGAUAAGUCUGAAGUUAAAGGCUGUGGCUUAACCAUAGUACGCUUUGGAAACUGUUUAACUUGAGUGCAGAAGGGGAGAGUGGAAUUCCAUGUGUAGCGGUGAAAUGCGUAGAUAUAUGGAGGAACACCCGGUUGCCGAAAGCG
rnacentral:rRNA from 1 species